GAAGAGGUGUUGAAGUAUACUCUUUAUAUGGGCGCUUGGAGUAUAUGGAACUAGUAGCGCAACCGGCUUUU
rnacentral:ncRNA from 1 species